ACUGUUAGACCUCUUCCUGUGGUUUACACCACGUGACUACGAAGCUUAAUAAGAACACCACUGUUAUUUCACACUUCUGUUUCUGCUGGGAUAGAGGAGAAAAAGAUGUAAGUUCCUGUUUUGAAUUUGCUCUACGGAUUGGACUGAGGAGGGGUUCUGAGCAGAACCAAACACGAAGCUGCCACAGCAACGAGAAGAUACUGAUGUACAGUGCAGUCAUCCAUAAAGUAGAGAGUACUACUAAACUCCUCUGCACAGUGUAGUGUUUCCUACUUUAUGGAUGACUGUACUGUUGGCUACGAAGGAAAAUUCUACAAGGACUCCAUUGACAUCAAUGAACGAUUCUGAAAAGCUUGGAGACCAUGGUCUAUUUUUAAGUUGUAUUACAUUUUUGUACUAGAAAUACAGUCCUAUGAAUAAAUGUUAAGUUCCCGUUAAGUAUUCAGUCAUGUUUCUCAAAUAAAAGUAGAUUUGAUUGCAAUAUUGUACUAAUGAAAAUAAAUAAAUUGUGUUUCUUGCUUUC